GACGAACGCUGGCGGCGUGCCUAAUACAUGCAAGUUGAGCGCUGAAGGAUGGUACUUGUACCAACUGGAUGAGCAGCGAACGGGUGAGUAACGCGUGGGGAAUCUGCCUUUGAGCGGGGGACAACAUCUGGAAACGAAUGCUAAUACCGCAUAAAAACUUUAAACACAAGUUUUAAGUUUGAAAGAUGCAAUUGCAUCACUCAAAGAUGAUCCCGCGUUGGAUUAGCUAGUUGGUGAGGUAAAGGCCAACCAAGGCGAUGAUACAUAGCCGACCUGAGAGGAGGAUCAGCGAAACUGGAAGUGAGACACGGUCCAGAAUCCUACGGGAGGAAGCAGUGGGGAAUAUUGGAAAAUGGGCGAAAGCAUGAUGCAGAAAUGACGCGUGAGUGAAGAAGGAAUUGGGGUGGUAAAGCCAUUUUGUGGGGAAAGAAAAGCAGCAGGUUAAUACACCGCUGUUAUGACGGUACCCAAAGAAUAAGCAACGGCUAACUUCGUG
rnacentral:rRNA from 1 species